rnacentral:rRNA from 1 species
UGGGGAAUUUUGGACAAUGGGGGCAACCCUGAUCCAGCCAUGCCGCGUGAGUGAAGAAGGCCUUCGGGUUGUAAAGCUCUUUCGGCCGGGAAGAAAUCGCGCCAGCUAAUACCUGGUGUGGAUGACGGUACCGGAAGAAGAAGCGCCGGCUAACUACGUGCCAGCAGCCGCGGUAAUACGUAGGGUGCGAGCGUUAAUCGGAAUUACUGGGCGUAAAGCGUGCGCAGGCGGCUCUAUAAGACAGAUGUGAAAUCCCCGGGCUUAACCUGGGAACUGCGUUUGUGACUGUAGGGCUUGAGUGCGGCAGAGGGGGGUGGAAUUCCACGUGUAGCAGUGAAAUGCGUAGAGAUGUGGAGGAACACCGAUGGCGAAGGCAGCCCCCUGGGUCACGACUGACGCUCA